GACGAACGCUGGCGGCGUGCCUAACACAUGCAAGUCUGGGAGAAUUGGGUAGCAAUACCACUGGCGCACGGGUGAGUAACACGUAGGUUAUCUGCCCCCAUCACAGACAUAACCCCGGGAAACCGGGGCUAAUAUCUGAUGAGGUCGCGAGAUCAAAGCUUCGGCGGAUGGGGAUGAGCCUGCGGCUGAUUAGCUAGUUGGUGAGGUAAUGGCUCACCAAGGCGACGAUCAGUAGCUGGUCUGAGAGGACGAACAGCCACACUGGAACUGAGACACGGUCCAGACUCCUACGGGAGGCAGCAGUGAGGAAUAUUGGUCAAUGGGAGCAAUCCUGAACCAGCAAUGCCGCGUGUGGGAUGACAGGGCUUCGCCUUGUAAACCACUGUCGGACGGGACGAAAGGAGGCCUCGGGCCUCUGGGACGGUACCGUCAAAGGAAGGGUCGGCUAACUACGUGCCAGCAGCCGCGGUAAU
rnacentral:rRNA from 1 species